rnacentral:lncRNA from 1 species
CCCAGGCCCGCCGCUGUGGGAAGAGCGGGCUGUACGCGCUCGCUCCGUCUGACGGGGUCGGUAGCAAGAAAAUGGGAGGUUCUGGCGAGUGUGAGGGUUUUGUCCCUCAGUUCUGCUGAUCCGGUGCCUGGUUAGCAGGCAGGUGCAAGCCUGGAUCCUGGCACAGUUCUCUCCCUUACUUCUGUAGAGACAUUGCUUCUUGUGCCCCGGAAUGUGACGCUAUCAGCGUGAGAAGCUGCUUCAGUGCAAUCUGAGGAGCCAUGGAUCUACAGUAAAUAAAAACUGGCCUCAGGUGGUCUUGGACACUUUCUGAAGAAUGAAAGAUCGGUGUGCCACUUUUCCUCAUCUCUUAUCAUGGAGCUCCCUGUGUAUGAGACACCUUAACACACUGCCUAUAUAGCAGUCCUUAAGC